UACGUAGGGGGCAAGCGUUGUCCGGAAUCAUUGGGCGUAAAGAGCGUGUAGGCGGCUCGAUAAGUCUGCUGUGAAAGUCCAGGGCUCAACCCUGGAAGGCCGGUGGAAACUGUCGGGCUAGAGUCCGGAAGAGGCGAGUGGAAUUCCCGGUGUAGCGGUGAAAUGCGCAGAUAUCGGGAGGAACACCGAUGGCGAAGGCAAUCCCCUGGGCCUGCACUGACGCUCAUGCACGAAAGCGUGGGGAGCAAACAGG
rnacentral:rRNA from 1 species